rnacentral:lncRNA from 1 species
CCAAUUUCAUAAAAUUAUCAUCUAAGCACUAUGUGGAUCGUACCUGCACUGUUAAUACAGCAUGUGAAAAUCGAAUCUGCAUCAUUGGCUCCGAUACCAUUUGUCGGAUACUUGGCGCUAAUCGUUAAUCUCAAAAGCUCGAGCUGAUAGGAAAGGCGUGUUCAUCACACUUAAGGGUUCAACCAUAGUACUCACAACCUUCGACCUGACUCAACCCAUUUGGACGUUAGGUCUAUUAUUGAGCCUCUUACUUUUAGAUCUCUUAUGGAGUGUAGUCCCAUACAACUUAUUAAGCUUACCAAACUCAACUUAUUAGUUUUCUAGGCCUAUUGUUACGGGACAAAAAGUUGAACUUAUUUUAGCUCAAUAAUAAAUUGCCAACAUACCACACAAACAUUCUUCUAAAAUCAGUUUUAUUUCUUUUUCUGUAUUAUUUCAAUCCAAAAAAUCUUCACAUUUAUGUUGAAUUUGAAAAGUAAUACUG